rnacentral:rRNA from 1 species
GACCCGUAAUCCGGGUUGCGGACAGUGUCUGGUGGGUAGUUUGACUGGGGCGGUCUCCUCCUAAAGAGUAACGGAGGAGCACGAAGGUUGGCUAAUCCUGGUCGGACAUCAGGAGGUUAGUGCAAUGGCAUAAGCCAGCUUGACUGCGAGCGUGACGGCGCGAGCAGGUGCGAAAGCAGGUCAUAGUGAUCCGGUGGUUCUGAAUGGAAGGGCCAUCGCUCAACGGAUAAAAGGUACUCCGGGGAUAACAGGCUGAUACCGCCCAAGAGUUCAUAUCGACGGCGGUGUUUGGCACCUCGAUGUCGGCUCAUCACAUCCUGGGGCUGAAGUAGGUCCCAAGGGUAUGGCUGUUCGCCAUUUAAAGUGGUACGCGAGCUGGGUUUAGAACGUCGUGAGACAGUUCGGUCCCUAUCUGCCGUGGGCGCUGGAGAACUGAGGGGGGCUGCUCCUAGUACGAGAGGACCGGAGUGGACGCAUCACUGGUGUUCGGGUUGUCAUGCCAAUGGCACUGCCCGGUAGCUAAAUGCGGAAGAGAUAAGUGCUGAAAGCAUCUAAGCACGAAACUUGCCCCGAGAUGAGUUCUCCCUGACUCCUUGAGAGUCCUGAAGGAACGUUGAAGACGACGACGUUGAUAGGCCGGGUGUGUAAGCGCAGCGAUGCGUUGAGCUAACCGGUACUAAUGAACCGUGAGGCUUAACCUUACAACGCCGAAG